UACAGAGGUCUCAAGCGUUUGUUCGGAUUCAUUGGGCGUAAAGGGUGCGUAGGCGGCGCGGUAAGUCGGGUGUGAAAUCUCGGAGCUUAACUCCGAAACUGCAUUCGAUACUGCCGUGCUUGAGGACUGGAGAGGAGACUGGAAUUUACGGUGUAGCGGUGAAAUGCGUAGAUAUCGUAAGGAAGACCAGUGGCGAAGGCGGGUCUCGUGGACAGUUCCUGACGCUGAGGCACGAAGGUCAGGGGGAGCAAACGGG
rnacentral:rRNA from 1 species